rnacentral:rRNA from 1 species
ACCUUUUGUAUAAUGGGUCAGCGACUUAUAUUCUGUAGCAAGGUUAACCGAAUAGGGGAGCCGAAGGGAAACCGAGUCUUAACUGGGCGUUAAGUUGCAGGGUAUAGACCCGAAACCCGGUGAUCUAGCCAUGGGCAGGUUGAAGGUUGGGUAACACUAACUGGAGGACCGAACCGACUAAUGUUGAAAAAUUAGCGGAUGACUUGUGGCUGGGGGUGAAAGGCCAAUCAAACCGGGAGAUAGCUGGUUCUCCCCGAAAGCUAUUUAGGUAGCGCCUCGUGAAUUCAUCUCCGGGGGUAGAGCACUGUUUCGGCAAGGGGGUCAUCCCGACUUACCAACCCGAUGCAAACUGCGAAUACCGGAGAAUGUUAUCACGGGAGACACACGGCGGGUGCUAACGUCCGUCGUGAAGAGGGAAACAACCCAGACCGCCAGCUAAGGUCCCAAAGUCAUGGUUAAGUGGGAAACGAUGUGGGAAGGCCCAGACAGCCAGGAUGUUGGCUUAGAAGCAGCCAUCAUUUAAAGAAAGCGUAAUAGCUCACUGGUCGAGUCGGCCUGCGCGGAAGAUGUAACGGGGCUAAACCAUGCACCGAAGCUGCGGCAGCGACACUAUGUGUUGUUGGGUAGGGGAGCG